GACGAACGCUGGCGGCGUGCUUAACACAUGCAAGUCGAACGGAAAGGCCCUGCUUUUGUGGGGUGCUCGAGUGGCGAACGGGUGAGUAACAAGUGAGUAACCUGCCCUUGACUUUGGGAUAACUUCAGGAAACUGGGGCUAAUACCGGAUAGGAGCUCCUGCUGCAUGGUGGGGGUUGGAAAGUUUCGGCGGUUGGGGAUGGACUCGCGGGUUAACGGCUUGUUGGUGGGGUAGUGGCUUACCCAGGCUUUGACGGGUAGCCGGCAUGAGAGGGUGACCGGGCACAGGGGGAAGUAGAUACGGCCGAGACGCCGACGGGAGGAAGCAGGGGGGAAUCUGGGACAAGGGGCGGAGGCCGGAUGAAGCCACGCCGGGGGCGGGAGGACGGCCUUAGGGGAGUAAAAAGCGUGCAGCAGGGGCGAAGCUUGUGGUGACGGUACCUGCAGAAGAAGCACCGGCUAACUACGUG
rnacentral:rRNA from 1 species